GGACCAGACUCCUACGGGAGGCAGCAGUGGGGGAUAUUGCACAAUGGGGGGAACCCUGAUGCAGCGACGCCGCGUGGGUGAAGAAGCGCCUCGGCGCGUAAAGCCCUGUCAGCAGGGAAGAAAAUGACGGUACCUGAAGAAGAAGCCCCGGCUAACUACGUGCCAGCAGCCGCGGUAAUACGUAGGGGGCAAGCGUUAUCCGGAUUCACUGGGUGUAAAGGGAGCGUAGACGGCGACGCAAGUCUGGAGUGAAAGCCCGGGGCCCAACCCCGGGACUGCUCUGGAAACUGCGUCGCUGGAGUACGGGAGGGGCAGGCGGAAUUCCUGGUGUAGCGGUGAAAUGCGUAGAUAUCAGGAGGAACACCGGCGGCGAAGGCGGCCUGCUGGACCGCGACUGACGUUGAGGCUCGAAAGCGUGGGGAGCGAACAGGAUUAGAUACCCUCGUA
rnacentral:rRNA from 1 species